rnacentral:rRNA from 1 species
AGUGAACGCUGGCGGUAGGCCUAACACAUGCAAGUCGAACGGCAGCACAGUAAGAGCUUGCUCUUACGGGUGGCGAGUGGCGGACGGGUGAGGAAUACAUCGGAAUCUACUUUUUCGUGGGGGAUAACGUAGGGAAACUUACGCUAAUACCGCAUACGACCUACGGGUGAAAGCAGGGGAUCUUCGGACCUUGCGCGAUUGAAUGAGCCGAUGUCGGAUUAGCUAGUUGGCGGGGUAAAGGCCCACCAAGGCGACGAUCCGUAGCUGGUCUGAGAGGAUGAUCAGCCACACUGGAACUGAGACGCGGUCCAGACUCCUACGGGAGGCACCAGUGGGGAAUAUUGGACAAUGGGCGCAAGUCUGAUCCAGCCAUACCGCGUGGGUGAAGAAGGCCUUCGGGUUGUAAAGCCCUUUUGUUGGGAAAGAACAGCAGCAGGUUAAUACCCCGCUGUUCUGACGGUACCCAAAGAAUAAGCACCGGCUAACUUCGUG